rnacentral:lncRNA from 1 species
CAAUCCGGCCCGCCGGUAGACAACUCCAAGACGUGCUUAGCAGUGAGCAUUCAGCACCCAUCUCCGCGUGUCAGAUGCGCGAUCCGUACUACCCCUGUGACCAUGCUGGAAAGCCCGUCCGCGCGCUUUAUCCAGGCUCAGUGGGGCAGCGUGGCUCGGAUGUUGUGGGGAGUAUCACCACUCCGUUGUACAACAGUAUUACAGCUCAGUACGAUUCCCUGUAUCCUGGGGAGUGUGACCUCGUGUUGGGUUAUGAGGCAGGGGCG